AGUUUGGGAUUUCCACCACAGUCCUGCUCCAAAGUCCUUCCAAGAAACCGGAAACCAAAUGGGAUUUGGUGCUUUGGAUCAGCGACAUGGAAGGAGCAGAGUGUGCAGUGAGGGGGAAAGUCAGAUCUCUACUCAUAUGACUGAAGUCCCUCUGGAAGGACUCUCUGGGCUCUUCAGAAUAAGUGUCCCUCCUUUUAGAGUUUUGUCAACAUUUGUUGCCCAGCCACGGCUCUGAAGGCUUGCACUUUUGCUCUUCCAAUGUCUCCUCUAAAACGGAAGCCCGGCAUGCACACUUCUGUAGGAAAACAACAGACUGGCUUUUGGUGAUCGCAGAAAGGCAUGUGAAGAUACUUUGACUACUCAUGCAAAGGGGAA
rnacentral:lncRNA from 1 species